ACGUAGAGGUGAUGAGUUUCUAUUACCGCCCCAGUCUGAGAGUUUGUGACUGAUUGGUAUCCCCUCUGAUCACAC